rnacentral:lncRNA from 1 species
GGAAAUCUAGAGCAACAUUACAGAUUGGCUAUGGCCUAAGUGGCGAUUAUUUAGCGUUGCUUUUGAGAGGAAACAGGAAGAAACCAAACCAGAGAAAUGGAGACAAUUGGCUUGAGCUGAGGGCUUCAUGGACAUUGUUUUAAAUGCUAGAAAGAAAAUCAGAGUCCUAUCCAUAAGGUGGCAUCUCUAUGAUGUCCCGGUUAAGCAAGGAAAGCCGACAGCUUCUGGGGAGAGAAAUCAGUGACUCAUGGGUGAGCAAGAUGGCGGAUUGACUCAUACUUGGUUGCUAAGGCUGCAGGGUCUGCUGAGGGGCUGACACUACUAGGCAGAUGCAAUUAUGGUAGAAGAAAAGGAGUGGGCAUCUGGCCAGAUGUUCUCAUUCUGGGUGGAUGAUGCAUCCUUUACUAAAAAGCAGGUUAGAGCACCCACCUACUAUUUUACUCUCUUGGCAGUUAAAUCCUAACUUUGAUGAACUCAUAAAUGACCCUGGGCAACCACAAUGCUGUUACAUUUUGCUUAAUCCUCAUUAUUUCUCAAGUUUUCAGUAAAGGUAUUUGAAGGUGGUCAAGGGGUUAGCGGGCUCCAAAUGGAGUGAAACAGAGCACUAGUAUCUAAUUAAAAAAAAAAAAAAGAAGCCAAAAUAAGCAGAUAUGCGAACUGAGACUGGAAAUUUGAGUGAUCACCCCCUACUAAUUUUAGCACCUGCUUUCACAAAGUUAUGUUGGGGACGAAAGUCUUCCCUCUCAGGGUUGUGAAAAUAAGUGAGGUAUUUAGUAUACAACCAUAGCCCGUUAUGAAGGUGAGGACUGACUACACUGGCUUUUCUUUCUUGGCAAUGCCUGUUUUAGGCAGGUUGACUUUCACUGGGCAGCAUCGAUCCACCCUGCGCUCCCUGCAGACACUCUCCCAUCAGUUUGCACAUGCCCUGAGUCUAGAAGCCACAUCAAAGAUAAUGUGUUUGCGCCCAGGACAGUGCUGCCCCCAAAUGGGCAUGUUCCUCAGGUCUAGAAGCAUAAACGGGGCUCCAGAAAGUCAGCGAACGGCAGCCUGGACCCUUUGAAGUCAGAAGGGCUUCCGACUAGGAGCGGACUGUUAGGAAGGAAUGAUCUUCCUAUAAAUGGUGUGGAUAAGAUGAGCACAGACUUGUUCACCAGAUCCUGAAAUACAGCAGCAGCUUGGAAGCACCAGAGAGGCAAGUUCAAGACAAGUCAGCGGAAAUACUACACUGCGUAGCAGGUAAUGAAUUUAAGGAAUGGAUUAUCUCCCAGAGGUGGUACAAGCUGGCAACGUAAAUGGAUUCCAG